rnacentral:rRNA from 1 species
UACGUGGGGGGCAAGCGUUGUCCGGAAUCAUUGGGCGUAAAGCGCGUGUAGGCGGCUCGAUAAGUCUGCUGUGAAAGUUCAGGGCUCAACCCUGAAAUGCCGGUGGAAACUGUCGGGCUAGAGUCCGGAAGAGGCGAGUGGAAUUCCUGGUGUAGCGGUGAAAUGCGCAGAUAUCAGGAGGAACACCAAUGGCGAAGGCAGCUCGCUGGGACGGUACUGACGCUGAGACGCGAAAGCGUGGGGAGCAAACAGG